GCCAGACUCCUACGGGAGGCAGCAGUGGGGAAUAUUGCGCAAUGGGGGGAACCCUGACGCAGCAACGCCGCGUGAGUGAAGAAGGCCUUCGGGUUGUAAAGCUCUUUAAUCAGGGACGAAGAAUGACGGUACCUGUUUAGAAAGCUCCGGCUAACUACGUGCCAGCAGCCGCGGUAAUACGUAGGGAGCAAGCGUUGUCCGGAAUUACUGGGCGUAAAGGGCGCGUAGGUGGGCGCUUAAGUCAGGUGUGAAAACUCCGGGCUCAACCUGGAGACUGCGCUUGAAACUGGGUGUCUUGAGGGCAGGAGAGGAAAGUGGAAUUCCUAGUGUAGCGGUGAAAUGCGUAGAUAUUAGGAGGAACACCAGUGGCGAAGGCGACUUUCUGGACUGUACCUGACGCUGAGGCGCGAAAGCGUGGGUAGCGAACGGGAUUAGAUACCCCGGUAU
rnacentral:rRNA from 1 species